rnacentral:lncRNA from 1 species
GAAAAAGCCUGUAGUGCCAUGUGCAAGACACAUUUGAUCACGAAUAGGGAUCAGACAUAUUAAUUACAGAAAUGAAAGUACUGCAUUAAAACUGAGCCAAAUGUUCAUUCUCGUUGACCUCCUGUACGUGCAAAGGGUUGAAUCAUUUUGUCCCAUAAUAGCAUAUCAGUCCAUUAUCAUUUAUUUUGGAAAAGUAUGAAAACGGCGGGUGGUUGUGAUAAAAAGAGGAGAUUUGAAAAGGUUAGCUCAUUCAAAGCGGAAAC